rnacentral:tRNA from 1 species
GCGGUCGUGGCUGACUGGUUACGGUGUUUGCUUUGUAAGCGAAUAAUUCUGGGUUCGAUUCCCAUCUACUCCC